ACUGAUGUUGGUUUCAACCCAACGCGAGCAAAGACAAAUUUAACGCAUUACAGUCCUUUUACCAUUGCACUAAAGAACUUUGGCAACAAAACCCCUGAGAAAGAUGUACAUGUUGAAAUUUACAAGGAUGGAAAAGAGUUGUCUUUUUCACAACUAGAAAAGCAAUAUCAUGAAUGGAUCUCUAAGAUGCAUGAAAAAUAUGAUUUGGAAAUUGAAUCA